rnacentral:misc_RNA from 1 species
CCCACUGCAGAAAUGGCAGAUGAAGCAUCAUGCCUAACAGGAUUUGCGAGGUCACCCACAUUUCUACUUCCAAGUUGUCCAUUGAAGGAUGAUGCUUGAGCUCUCCAAGAUCCAAAUGAAGCUUGCAUCUGUACUUGAGCCAUUUCUGUUGCAGCUUCACUGUAUGAGCCAUUAUCCUUAACAUGGAAGUUAACUGGCGUUAUACGACCACACAAAUUUAUCUCACUUCCAACAGCAGAUUUCUUUUGGUUGGUUGACUCUUCAGCAGAAUAUUCAUCAUUGUUAUUGAAGACCUCACCCAACAACUCUGU